rnacentral:rRNA from 1 species
UGGGGAAUUUUGGACAAUGGGCGCAAGCCUGAUCCAGCCAUGCCGCGUGCGGGAAGAAGGCCUUCGGGUUGUAAACCGCUUUUGUCAGGGAAGAAAUCUUCUGAGUUAAUACCUCGGGAGGAUGACGGUACCUGAAGAAUAAGCACCGGCUAACUACGUGCCAGCAGCCGCGGUAAUACGUAGGGUGCAAGCGUUAAUCGGAAUUACUGGGCGUAAAGCGUGCGCAGGCGGUUAUGCAAGACAGAUGUGAAAUCCCCGGGCUUAACCUGGGAACUGCAUUUGUGACUGCAUAGCUAGAGUACGGUAGAGGGGGAUGGAAUUCCGCGUGUAGCAGUGAAAUGCGUAGAUAUGCGGAGGAACACCGAUGGCGAAGGCAAUCCCCUGGACCUGUACUGACGCUCAUGCACGAAAGCGUGGGGAGCAAACA